ACCGUUGGGUGGUGGUGGUGGGUCUUCACUGCCGGGCAUAGUGGACGGCCGUCGGUGUCUUGCGUGGUGAGACGUGGAUCAGAAUCCGCGUUCCCGUCUGAUCCGUGGACCAGGAAAUUCGCUUUCCGCUACGGCGUCGGUCGUUUGGAAGCUGGAGACUCCGGGACAGAGGCAACUAGCGCCGCCGGCGAGCCGCCAUGGAUCAGCCAAUCAGCAGAUCCAGUCUGCUUGAGGAGGUAGGGGAUAGCUUGGUGCCGGCUCCUAUGGCUGUCAAUGUAUCUGCCGUGGCAGAUCUGGAAGUGGCACCGAAGGCGGAGCGGGAGGUGGCGCAGCAGUAGACGGUGGACAGCGGCGAAGCACAAAUCUUCUUGGCGAAGGAGGCGGCCGCGAACAGAAGGGAGAGCUCGCCGCCAACGUCGAAGCUGUCCGCGGGGAAGAUGAAUCCCCAAGCACCGGUGUGGAACAAAAGGCUAGGGAUUGGUGCUGCCGCCCCCAGCAGAACACCGUGCCCACUUCGUGUGAGUGCGUUUGAGAAGGCAGUCAGGUGUUUCGCGAAGAACCCAUCUGAAAAUGCGAUCACACCGGUUCUUGGCACUACUUUCGACUCUGGCCGAGGCGUAUGACUUCUACAACUUGUAUUUGUGGGAGAAGGUUUUUGGCAUCCGGUAUGGCAAGAGAUGGCUAAAUGCCGAAAGGACAGAGUGCAUGCAGGAGAUAGUUUGUGCAUGCUCGGUUUGUUAUUAAUUUUGCUGUUGCUGCUUUGUGAUCGGUAAUUCAGUUAUGUUCGGGUGUACUUCCAGUGUUGGUAUUGAUUAAAGUGUGAACAUUUCUGCAGGGUAAAGCUGGGGUCGAGAACACAAGGUCUUGUCGGUGCGAGUGCCCUGCUCUGAUUAAACUUUUCCGAGUAGAGGACAACGGGUGGUACAUUGCAGAGCAUAGAGACAAUCAGAAAUCUUGACAGGGGAAAUGAACCCUCAAGCGCCAGGAUGGUCUAAGAGAACAAUUGUCUGAACUCUUUUUGGAGGAGUUACAUUUUCAGCCUCAUGAUAGAGCUGGUGGCACCCAGCAGGGCCCCUUGCCCGUCUUGCGUGAGUGCUUUCAAGAAAGCAGCGAGGGCUUUUGCUGAGAACCCCUCGGGCAAUGCCAUUGUCCUGAAACCGGGUAUCAGUUUUGACUCGCUCGGAGAGGCGUACGAUUUCUGCAACAUGUACUCCUAGGAGAAAGGAUUUGGAAUAAUCGGUGGCUCCAUUCUUCUUAACCAAGUUCAGUCAUUGAUUUGCCUUCAGUCUAAGGCACCUUUGUAUGCACAUGACGCGGCAGAGCCCAAUAACAUAUCAUUUGGCAAAGAGCACUGGAACGAUACAUACUACGUCUUAGCAAGUACUAAUAUGAAGUUGCGCAGGCUCUGUCGUAGACUAAAGAGUCCAGCGUUUGAGCAUCCUUUGCAUGAUAAGCACAAAGACCAACAUCAGACGCUGCCGGUCAUCAAACACCUUCCUGUCGCGCCCUUUCCAGAUGCUCUGGAGGAAGCAAGUGAUGAUAAUGGACAGUAGUUUCUAGGGGGAUCACCCCGAUUUAAACUGAAGAUGCAAUUUCAGUCCAGCUUUCCUUUUUUACUUCACAUCUUUCGGUUUAAGAAUUGUUUACUUAAUAUUGUAGAUAUAUAAUAGUGCAGAUAAAAGAGAACUUCAUACUUUAACCGGGUGUUUAAUAGCUGCAACAUUCUUGAAACUGUUGGGGAUGGGCCUGUUAUACUGCAACAAACAAGCCAAUUGUACAAAAUCUUGCAUACUCGCUCUGCAACUUGCGUAUGUUGGAUAUGCAAACAACCUCAUCACAUCAGUUUUGGUCUAGCCUUGGUUCUUCUGAUCAUGGCGCUGUCCUCGAGGGGUUUGAAUUGCUUGGUUCAACAAAAAAGCAAAGAACACAUUCUCCUCUGCACUGCCUCUUCUACCGACGUAGCUAGAUCAUCCCUUCGUGUGUGGCUCUAUGCGUAUGGGCGAGGAUCUUCCAAGGCGAGCUCGUCUCAGCUGGGGGCGGGGACUUCAUCGAGCCUUCGUUCAAAGAACAAAGCUCCCUGCCUAUGAUGGGUCUCAUCUUGUUAGUGCUUCCGCUCCACCUAUGGUGCUCAUUCUGCGGCUGGGGACUUCAUCGACAUCAAGCGAAGCUUUGUUGUCCAUUAUGUUGUAGUGCUUGGUGUUGUUGAGGUUUGUAAGUUGUCUAGUAGCACCAUGUAUCUGCCGUCUUUUUCUUUUUCCUCUUGUUAGGUGCUGUCCGAUGUAACUCCUGGCCGGUUGAUGGCUUUGUUAAUUCAAAGCCGGGCUCUCUCUCGAGCCUUCGUUCUAAAAAAAAAGAUAAAAAGUUGCAAUGCAAAUUGAUGAUAUGCAUGUAAGCAUGGCAUUACCUAAGUCAUUAAUCCAUUGUCAGUUGCAAAUAUUGUUCCUGUGAUCGCAGAUGAUAUUUAAUACUUAUUGUGUUUUA